rnacentral:rRNA from 1 species
CAGCCGCCGCGGGAAUACGUAGGGUGCGAGCGUUAAUCGGAAUUACUGGGCGUAAAGCGUGCGCAGGCGGUUGUGUAAGACAGGUGUGAAAUCCCCGGGCUUAACCUGGGAACUGCGCUUGUGACUGCACAGCUAGAGUAUGGCAGAGGGGGGUGGAAUUCCACGUGUAGCAGUGAAAUGCGUAGAGAUGUGGAGGAACACCGAUGGCGAAGGCAGCCCCCUGGGCCAAUACUGACGCUCAUGCACGAAAGCGUGGGGAGCGAACAGGAUUAGAUACCCCAGUAGUCCCUGUCUCUUAUAC